AGACCGGUGUGACUGAUAUAACGUUCUUCCCUUUUUUUUUUUUUUUUUUGAAAAACUGACGUUUUGAGGGGGGUGCGUCUUAUACAAAGGUGCGACUUAUAGACUGGAAAAUACGGUAAUGUUAUUGCACUUAUAUUAUCAUAAAUAAUAUUAUAACAAAACCUCCAUCCAAAGGCACUGAGCAUCAAUGGUAAAGUUGCUCCACUAUAGCUCUCUUUAGCUUCACCUCGCGCGCAUGCAAGAGUGAAAGUGGGACAAGGCAGACCAACGGGCGAGGAGUGAAACGAACGAUAGGGUGAGGAAAGCAGCGUAAACACUGCCAGCCCCAAGCCAGCACCGAAGCGCGGUACGGGCCUCUCGCUCCGUUCGCGGUUUGACGUGGUGAAGCCUCUUAUUUUUUCCGUGCAGUUCUGCAAAACGGAACCAUGUGUGCUUGCGCUGGCGUAUUGUUUCUGAAAUAGGAAGUUUGUCAGAUCGACGCCGAUUUACCACAGAAAGGAGGUCGCAAUGUCAAUAUCAGAGUGCAAUGCUCACGAAAUUCAAGGAUUUUCAAGGAAGGAAAAAAAUUCCAGCACUUUCAAGGGCCCUUGAAAACGCACUCUUCAAUUUCAAGGGUUUUCAAGGAUUUCAAGGACCUGUACGCACCCUGUUAACAGUGUUGUGACCCUCGAUGCAUUAGAACAUGUUUUAAUGGUAAUGGAACCUCGUGCUAUGUCUCAUAUAGUUCUGAAGUCAUCGAAUUACUAUCGUCUUGUAUGAAAAGUAUAAUAUUGAUUAUACUGUACUUUCUUGACUUGGCACCCACCAGUGGUGCUAACACGCUUGUUUUGGCAUCACUAAUGCUGCAGGUGGAUGAAGGGAGCUCGUUCCAACACAAGUCCAUCUGAUCUGCAUCCCAAUUUACAAUGCCAAUCGUCUAGUCCUAGGUGUGGCCCAGCUCAUUAAUUAGCUUAAUGGCGAGCCAUUCAACAAAAACGACGAGCAGCUACUUGAGGUGAAUUGGUUGUUCAUUUCACAUUCUCUUCCCACUGAAUGAUUGUGUCACAAUUAUGGGUUUUUUUUGUGCUCCACCCACUUCCGUGAUUUCCUCGGCAUUCACUGCAGCUUUGGCAAGAGCCGAGUGUGCACAGGAGGAGCAGCUAAAUACAUGCACCUUCAUUUUUGGCUAAUACCCAAAAGGACCAGAGUGUAAUGGAUUGCCAGAGAAGCUGCAGAAUAUGUUACAGCACCAAUGUCAAGCUAUAGGGUCGGUUUUCUAGCUGGCAGCAUCUGCAUCAUGGUUAAAGCUAGCCUCACAAAUGUGUUUAAAAGUUGAGACAGUGAUUCAAGUUUGAUCAGCUGAAUGCAGACAGACAUUGAAAUCAGGUAUUGCAGCUUGUGUUGAACAAAUCUGUAAUAUCCUUGAAAUAUUUACCUUUCAAUAAGCAUUUAAGGAAACGCUCAUGCACUCAAGUGGGAAUUGUAUCACAUCAUGUUCCACUUCAUGGCCACUGUGGAUCCACCUUCAGUACUUAUUGCUACGUGAUUGAUGAGCACAGGUUCAACACAAUAACUGCAAAGGCCCUUUAUUUGCGUAUGCUAGCUGAACCGAGCGUCACUAAAUGAAUAAGUAUAGUGACUCUGACCUGACGUAUUCAAUCGGUGUCACCACUGAUAUUGACACAAGCAGAUAACUGUCCCUGCAGCAAUUUUUGAGGGUGACACGAUUACUGGAGCAAAAAAAAUCUUGUUGGCCAUGCAGUGGUGCAAGCAUCAUGUUCCAGGUUCUACAAACUUGUGAUGAACCAGUCCGUGGACGUAAAAAAAAAAAACAAGCAUGAUCUUGAUCUUUAAUUUGCUCAUCCUGGCUUUCUUCUGGCAAGGGGCCGAGUGCGUGUGCCACUCCGAUGAUUGCCUUUUGGACUCCGGGUCAUAUUCAAAUAGCACCCAAGUCUCGUCACCUGUAAUAACGUUGUCCAAAAAUUUUCAAUCACGUUUGCAAAUGUCGAGGUUUUCUUGGCACGUUUCAACGUGGCGGGACUUUUGGUCGUCAGUGAGCACUUUUGGAACCAUUUUCGCACACCUUCUGCAUGCCGAUAUCGUUUGUAACGAUUUCAUGAACUUGAGUUUUCGGAAUGUUUAACAUGUCGGCCAUUAAACGAACACUUAAUCCUCGGUCUGAGUUUAACAGUUCCCUCACUCAUGUCAUUGUCGGCCGUGGUGUGCAUUUUGCUUAGAGCAAUCAAUUGAAUGCCACCGGUCACAAUUACUUUGUAUAUAAAACAAGAUCUGUAUUGUAUGCCGAUGUCACCUCUGCAUGAAACACAUCAAUGUCGACAAAACUUUGCCCUGCU